rnacentral:rRNA from 1 species
AGCGAACGCUGGCGGCAGGCCUAACACAUGCAAGUCGAACGAAGUCUUCGGACUUAGUGGCGGACGGGUGAGUAACACGUGGGAACGUGCCUUUAGGUUCGGAAUAACUCAGGGAAACUUGUGCUAAUACCGAAUGUGCCCUUCGGGGGAAAGAUUUAUCGCCUUUAGAGCGGCCCGCGUCUGAUUAGCUAGUUGGUGAGGUAAAGGCUCACCAAGGCUACGAUCAGUAGCUGGUCUGAGAGGAUGACCAGCCACAUUGGGACUGAGACACGGCCCGAACUCCUACGGGAGGCAGCAGUGGGGAAUCUUGCGCAAUGGGCGAAAGCUUGACGCAGCCAUGCCGCGUGGAUGAUGAAGGUCUUAGGAUUGUAAAAUCCCUUCACCGGUGAAGAUAAUGACUGUAGCCGGAGAAGAAGCCCCGGCUAACUUCGUGCCAGCAGCCGCCGUAAUAC